UUUGUUUAGUAUAUUAAAGAAAAAAUUUUUUUGUUAUAGUAGAUUAGUACUGUGAAGGAAUAGAUGAAAUAAUUUAAAUUUAUUUUAUUUUAAGUAUAUUUUAUUUGUAGUACCUUUUGUAUCAGGGUUGAUUAAUUAUCAAAUUUAUAUUUUUAUCUCGAUUUUAAAAGAGCUAUUUUGUUAUUUUAGUAACGUGGUAUAGUUAUUAAUAAUAAAAAUUAGAGGAGAAAUUUUAUUCGAUUUUAAAGGUAUCUAGUUUUUUAAGAAUUAAAUUUAAUUUAAUUUCAUUACUUAAUUAUUAUAUUAUUUAUAAAUUAUUUGUUGAAUUAAAAAUUAUAGGGGAUAAGCUCUAUAUUUUUCUAUAAAAAUUCUAUUAAUAAAUUUUUGUAGGUUUAAAAAUACCCAUCAUUAUAAAAUAUGUUAUAAUUUAUUUUUAUUAUUAAUUAAUUUUGAAAUUUUUAGAAUAUUAUUAAAAUACCAAAAUUAAUUAUUAAUUUUGGGAAAUAAUGAUUAAAUUAGUAUAAAUUUAUGUUUAUCAUUAUAUAAUGAAAAUAAUAAAAUAAGGAACUCGGCAAAUAUAGUUCUCGCCUGUUUACCAAAAACAUGGCCUUUUGAAAUUUUAUUGAAGGUCUGGCCUGCCCAGUGAUAAUUUUAACGGCCGCGGUAUAUUGACCGUGCAAAGGUAGCAUAAUCAUUAGUCUUUUAAUAGAGGGCUGGAAUGAAAGGUUUAACGAGGAACUGACUGUCUCAUUUUAUUUGUUUUAAAAUUUAAUUUUUUAGUUAAAAAGCUAAAAUAUUAUUGGAAGACGAGAAGACCCUAUAGAUCUUUAUAUAAUUUAUUUAAUUGUUUUUAUAUUAAUGUGAUUAUUUUAAAUUUUAUUAUGUUGGGGUGACAAAAAUAUAUAAAAAACUUUUUGAUGUUCAUACAUUGAUAUAUGAUUAUUAGAUCCAUUCUUAGUGAUUGUUAGAUAAAGUUACCUUAGGGAUAACAGCGUAAUCCUCCUCCAGAGUUCAUAUUUACAGGAUGGGCUUGCGACCUCGAUGUUGGAUUAAGAUGAUAAUUAGGUGUAGCCGCUUAAUUUAUAGGUCUGUUCGAC
rnacentral:rRNA from 1 species